AUGCAUUUUACUACUAGCAUGCAUGAUGGACUGCUUUUCCCCCUUUUUCCUUUUGAAAUGCAUGUUGCACUGCUGAGUGCUGAGCGUCUUGCACAAGGUUCUCCCUCCAUCCGCAAGUACCCGCUGAGCAUGAAGGAGGUUCUUGGGCUAACCACCGGCCGCAAGUACCCGCUGGAGGUCGUCGCCGACCCCAAAGCUCCCAGCUCAUCUCUUUCUUUGAAUUUGAUAUACGUCAUGCAUGUGUAUGCAAAACAUGUCCAUGCGUUGCAACAAGAAAAAGGUGUCCUUGCACCGUCCUACUUGAAUGCACCACAUAAGCAUGUCUAUGAACAUAGCAAACACGGUUGUGAUGAAUCCCGCGCGUCACCCGCGAGGACGCCAUCAUUGAUGGGUACGAUGUGCCCAAGGGUGCGCGUGUGGUCCAUCGGCCGGCACCCGGAGCUGUGGGACGCCCCGGAGGAGUUCAGGCCAGAGAGGUUUAUUGGGAGCAAGAUCGACGUGAAAGGGCAGGACCUGGAGCUUCUUCCAUUCGGGUCUGGCCGGCGGAUGUGCCCCGGCUACAACCUCGGGCUCAAGGAGGUGCGCCUUAGCCUAGCGAACCUACUGCACGGGUUCACCUGGACACUACCGGAUGGGAUGGCCAAGGAGGAGCUGAGCAUUGCAUGGACGUGGUUUUUGGGCUAA
rnacentral:rRNA from 1 species